AGCGAACGCUGGCGGCAGGCCUAACACAUGCAAGUCGAACGAACCCUUCGGGGUCAGUGGCGGACGGGUGAGUAAAACGUGGGAACGUGCCUUUAGGUUCGGAAUAACUCAGGGAAACUUGUGCUAAUACCGAAUGUGCCCUUCGGGGGAAAGAUUUAUCGCGUUUAGAGCGGCCCGCGUCUGAUUAGCUAGUUGGUGAGGUAAUGGCUCACCAAGGCUACGAUCAGUAGCUGGUCUGAGAGGAUGACCAGCCACAUUGGGACUGAGACACGGCCCAAACUCCUACGGGAGGCAGCAGUGGGGAAUCUUGCGCAAUGGGCGAAAGCCUGACGCAGCCAUGCCGCGUGGAUGAUGAGGGUCUUAGGAUUGUAAAAUCCUUUCACCGGUGAAGAUAAUGACUGUAGCCGGAGAAGAAGCCCCGGCUAACUUCGUGCCAGCCGCCGCCGUAAAAC
rnacentral:rRNA from 1 species